CUUAUGAUUCCUAUUUAAUUACUUUCAAAUCGUAUUAAACCAACUAAGAGUUGAUAACCCAAGACUUUGAUGGACCAUGAAGGCAAGUUCACGGCACAUUAUGAAAACGACAUCUAAGGAAUGCUAAGUUUGCUUGAGACUUCACAUCUUGCCUUUGAAGGAGACAUGAUCUUGGAUGAGGCCUUAACAUUUUCAAGAACACAUGUUAAUGAACCAAUCAUAAAAAAGAUAGAUAACCCAGCCAUGUCAGAACUUGUUAGUCAUUCACUUGAGCUUCCGUUGCAUCAUAGAACGCCAAAACUAGAAGCACGGUGGUAUAUUGAACCUUAUAAAACAAAAGAAAAGACUCAAAUUACUUGUUACUGGAACUGGCAAAGCUGGAUUUCAAGAGGGUGCAAUUACUAUACCAAGAAGAUCUUCAGGUUUGCCGGGACUGGCUGAUGGAAUGCUUCAUUUGGACGAUUGAAAUGGUUCCUGAACCACAACGUAGUUGUUGAGAAUUUGACCUUUGUAAAGCAGAUCACUAUUCACCCCAAGACCUGAUUCAGAUUCAAAGAACCAAGACUCACACGCACACAACUCACUCAGAUCAAGAAUAUGACACAGAAAUAAAGAACACAUGAUUUAAGUGGUUCAGCACCAGAUGUUGGUGCCUACAUCCACUGAGAAACCAAGCACUGCGUUUUCACUAUUAUUGAGCUCAAAGCGUACAAGAAUUAGGCAGUGAUUACAGAAAACACAAAUGGUUAACACUUUCUUUCUCCUCACACCUCUAUUCUCUCUUUUCGGAUGAAGAAGAUGAUUCCAGAACCAGCUCUUAUACCCUG
rnacentral:lncRNA from 1 species